UUUAGCUCUAACCCUGAUGCAGACAUUGAUUCGCAUGCUCAGGUGUGUUUGAUUAGGGUAAGAGCUAAACUCUGCAGAUAAAAGCCUUCACUGCACAUGCAUCUGGAGGUCAGAGCGAACAUGGCGACCCGCUGGGGAAUCUGUGGAGCUGGAAACAUCAGCCAUGACUUCUGUGUGGCUCUGAAGACACUUUCUCACGAGGAUCACCAGAUCGUGGCAGUUGCAGCGAGAAGCUUAGACCGUGCAAAGAAGUUUGCAAAGACUCAUGGGAUCCCGACUGCAUUUGGCAGCUACCAGGAGCUGG